GAGAGAGUAAUAAUGGUUAUAGGGCUGGCUUGAAACCGGUUUUGGGGGGUUCGAUUCCUUCCUUUCUUG
rnacentral:tRNA from 1 species